rnacentral:rRNA from 1 species
GAUGAACGCUGGCGGCGUGCCUAAUACAUGCAAGUCGAGCGAAUGGAUUAAGAGCUUGCUCUUAUGAAGUUAGCGGCGGACGGGUGAGUAACACGUGGGUAACCUGCCCAUAAGACUGGGAUAACUCCGGGAAACCGGGGCAAAUACCGGAUAACAUGUUGAACCGCAUGGUUCGAAAUUGAAAGGCGGCUUCGGCUGUCACUUAUGGGUGGACCCGCGUCGCAUUAGCUAGUUGGUGAGGUAACGGCUCACCAAGGCAACGAUGCGUAGCCGACCUGAGAGGGUGAUCGGCCACACUGGGACUGAGACACGGCCCAGACUCCUACGGGAGGCAGCAGUAGGGAAUCUUCCGCAAUGGACGAAAGUCUGACGGAGCAACGCCGCGUGAGUGAUGAAGGCUUUCGGGUCGUAAAACUCUGUUGUUAGGGAAGAACAAGUGCUAGUUGAAUAAGCUGGCACCUUGACGGUACCUAACCAGAAAGCCACGGCUAACUACGUGCCAGCCGCCGCGGUAA